CAGCCACACACCCACCUGGACAUGUUCAUUUUACUAAUCUGAAGGGAGAUACUGCUGGAGAUAUAAUAUCAAUUCAUCUAACCAUCCCACAAUAGGCCUACAAAGCAGGUAUGGUUAUUAGUUCCAAUUUAUAGAUGAAGACACUGAGGCUCUGAGUAAUUGGCCAAGAUCAUCCAACUAGCAAAUGGAAGAAUUGGAAAUCUAACCUACUGACUUCAGAGUACGUAAUCUUACCCCACUAUGCGAUACUGCCUGCCUUCAGCAAAUAAAUGAUGAUUUGGACUUGA